ACAUGCAGUCGACGGUAACAGGAGAAAGCUUGCUUUCUUGCUGACGAGUGGCGGACGGGUGAGUAAUGCUUGGGAAUCUGGCUUAUGGAGGGGGAUAACGACGGGAAACUGUCGCUAAUACCGCGUAGAGUCGAGAGACGAAAGUGCGGGACCGCAAGGCCGCAUGCCAUGAGAUGAGCCCAAGUGGGAUUAGGUAGUUGGUGGGGUAAAGGCCUACCAAGCCGACGAUCUCUAGCUGGUCUGAGAGGAUGACCAGCCACACCGGGACUGAGACACGGCCCGGACUCCUACGGGAGGCAGCAGUGGGGAAUAUUGCGCAAUGGGGGCAACCCUGACGCAGCCAUGCCGCGUGAAUGAAGAAGGCCUUCGGGUUGUAAAGUUCUUUCGGUGACGAGGAAGGUUGUUGUGUUAAUAGCGCGACAAAUUGACGUUAAUCACAGAAGAAGCACCGGCUAACUCCGUGCCAGCAGCCGCGGUAAUACGGAGGGUGCGAGCGUUAAUCGGAAUAACUGGGCGUAAAGGGCACGCAGGCGGCUAUUUAAGUGAGGUGUGAAAUCCCCGGGCUUAACCUGGGAAUUGCAUUUCAGACUGGGUAGCUAGAGUACUUUAGGGAGGGGUAGAAUUCCACGUGUAGCGGUGAAAUGCGUAGAGAUGUGGAGGAAUACCGAAGGCGAAGGCAGCCCCUUGGGAAUGUACUGACGCUCAUGUGCGAAAGCGUGGGGAGCAAACAGGAUUAGAUACCCUGGUAGUCCACGCUGUAAACGCUGUCGAUUUGGGGAUUGGGCUUUAAGCUUGGUGCCCGUAGCUAACGUGAUAAAUCGACCGCCUGGGGAGUACGGCCGCAAGGUUAAAACUCAAAUGAAUUGACGGGGCCCGCACAAGCGGUGGAGCAUGUGGUUUAAUUCGAUGCACGCGAGA
rnacentral:rRNA from 1 species